GGGGGCGUUACGGUUUCGACGGGGAUAGUUGAAGCUGUAGAAGCGUACCGAGGUUCCUACAGGCCUCGUUAAACAGGUAGGAAAACAAUACUCGCAAACGACUACGAGUACGCAUUAGCCGCUUAGUCGGCUAACGUUCUUUCUGAUUUUUCCUGUCGGAUCAGAGGGGGCGUAAUUUCAGGCAGGAUAGUCCUAACCUUUUCCUGUGGGGAACAGGGCGAAAUUCACAUGGGAUAGCAAUCAGUAAAGCCUGCCUUUGGGCGUUACAGAGUGCGAAUGACAAAACAAAGGAUACGUACGUAGAAACUGCAGUGGAAUAUUUUCGGACGCGGGUUCGACUCCCGCCGCCUCCACCA
rnacentral:tmRNA from 16 species